GGCCGAAAAUCAAUGUUAUCAC
rnacentral:siRNA from 1 species